rnacentral:sRNA from 1 species
AGUGUGCUGCGUUACCGCACAUCAGGCGCUGUUGUUGGAGCCGGAACACCGUGCGACUCUGACAGAACCGGCCCCCUCCUCGCGCACACACUCGCCGAGCCGCGCGCGCCCCUCCGCCGUGACAGUGGCCGUGGCCGCCGCUCUCUCGGGGCACCCGGCAGCCAGAGCGCGGCGAGAGCGGGCGGUCGCCAGGGUCCCCUCCCCAGCCAGUCCCAGGCUCCCGGUGCACUAUGCGGGGCACGUGCGCCCCCCAGCUCUAAUCUGCGCGCUGACAGGAGCAUGAUCUGUGCCCAGGCCAGGGCUGCCAAGAAUCUGUACCAGAACAGAUUUUUAGGCCUGGCCGCCAUGGCGUCUCCUUCUAGAAACUCCCAGAGCCGACGCCGGUGCAAGGAGCCGCUCCGAUACAGCUACAACCCCGACCAGUUCCACAACAUGGACCUCAGGGGCGGCCCCCAUGAUGGCGUCACCAUUCCCCGCUCCACCAGCGACACUGACCUGGUCACCUCGGACAGCCGCUCCACGCUUAUGGUC